CGCCUGUUUAUCAAAAACAUAGCCUAUAACUUAACUUUAGGUACAACCCUGCCCUCUGAAAUUUUAACAGCCGCGGUAUCCUAACCGUGCUAAGGUAGCAUAAUCAUUUGCCUAUUAAUUAUAGGCUAGCAUGAACGGGAUCACUCACUUAAAUUUAUUUUCACUACAAUUAAAAUUAAACUUUAAGUUAAAAUACUAAAUUUUUAAGAAAGACAAAAAGACCCUGAAAACUAUUAGAAGAUAAUUAGUUGGGGCAACUAUAGACCAUAAACAGCGUCUAUUAAAAUUCGAAUUUUAAAAUUCAAAGCACACAGUUACUUCAGGGAUAACAGACUAAUUGUAUUAUUUAGACCUAAUAAAUAAUAAAGAUUGGCACCUCGAUGUUGGCUUAUAAUUCCUUCAUAUAGUAACAUAUAUUGAUGGCAGCUUGUUCAUCUGAUAAAUAUUUACAUGAGCUGAGUUCAGACCGGCGUAAGC
rnacentral:rRNA from 1 species